UACGGAGGGUGCAAGCGUUAUCCGGAUUCACUGGGUUUAAAGGGUGCGUAGGUGGGUUGGUAAGUCAGUGGUGAAAUCUCCGAGCUUAACUUGGAAACUGCCAUUGAUACUAUCAGUCUUGAAUACCGUGGAGGUCAGCGGAAUAUGUCGUGUAGCGGUGAAAUGCUUAGAUAUGACAUAGAACACCAAUUGCGAAGGCAGCUGACUACGCGAAUAUUGACACUGAUGCACGAAAGCGUGGGGAUCAGACAGG
rnacentral:rRNA from 1 species